ensembl:misc_RNA 7SK 7SK RNA
AGAUAUGAGGGUGAUCUAGCUCAUGUGGCUGGCUAGGUGGGUGCCCCGUCCUCCCUCACCACUCCAUGUGCAUCCGUCCUGAAUGUGUGUGCUCAGAGAGGAUGACCUUCUCUGGAUAGAGGAGGACUGGUCUUUGGUCAAGGGUAUAUGAGUAGCUGCACUCACAGAUGCUAGCCCCAGGCUAUUAAACACAGCAAAACUUCCAAUCACAAUAGAGGCAGAAAAUGAGAGAUUACAUGAUUUUUAAAAAUUAUUU